GGCUCCACCGUGGUGCUGUCGUCCAGUUUACCCUUGUAGACUGUGCCAAAGCUGCCAGUGCCUAGCUUGAGAUCGCUUCUGAAGCACUUGGUUGCUCUCCCCAUCUCUUCUGCCCAGUGCCUGGCAGUGCGGACAAUUUCGGCCGGAACUUCCAGAGAAAAAAAUCCAACAAUGAGAAGAGCUGGUGCUGAUGAUCAACGUGGAAGACACGUGUAAAGAGCAAGCUAUCUUCUCUGAGUCACGAGCUUACCGGGAAGCAGAAUAACGUAUCGCUUUAUCGCGCAGCCACCAGUCAAGGGUGCACACGAUCCGAGGCUGACUAUGUUUCCAAGCGCGCAGAGAAUCAGAACGCCAAGAAGGUGCAAAAGCAUAAGAAGCUGAAGAAGGAGCUCGAUCCUCAAAAACCUGAAGAGCAGAAGGUAGAGAACGAGGAUGGUUCCAGUGGCAGCCAUAGCCAGAGUGGUGGAGGACAGGAGAGCAACGGUCCCAGGAAACAGGGCUUCAGUUACCUCGAGAGGCUGAGGAACGAAUAUGAGAGGACGGAAAAGGAGGUGGAGGAGGAAAAUGAGCAGGCUACUUAAUAGCUUAAGCAAGAAAAGCUAAUCACAAUAUUCCAAAAUUAUUCA